rnacentral:lncRNA from 1 species
GAGAAUGAAAUUAGUAUUUAUUAGGCAUCUACCAUGUUUUAGACAACGCCGGGUACUUUAGAUACAUGAUCACGCCAGAAUUCCCAAUAGCCCUGCAAACAGAGAUGCCGUACAUUCUGUAAAUCAUUUUGCUGGUUUCAAUAGAAAGUCCAGACCAAGUGGAAUAAAGCGCAUUUUGUGGGUCAGAUGUAAAAGACAGAAGAGACCUACCCGAAGAAACAUUCCGUGGUACCAGAGGAAAUCGAGCACCAAGAGGCCUUUUUUCCCCCCCUAUACUCAAAGAUGAAAACUAGACUAGGGUCCCUUUUCAAGGUAAAAUGACAGGCAGGUCCAUUAAGCUGCUGUGAAAUUGUUCCCCAUCCUGCAAAUUCAUCCACCAGACCGGGCCCUGCAUCUUAC